GGGGUCGUAGCCCAACGGUAGAGGCAACGAUUUUAGGUGUCGUCCAGAGCGGGUUCGAAUCCCGUCGACCCCA
rnacentral:tRNA from 1 species